rnacentral:rRNA from 1 species
GGGUUAAGUCCCGCAACGAGCGCAACCCUUUGUCUGCUAGUUAACUAACCAGUUUAGGCUGAGCACUAGAGAGCCCGGUGAUAAACCGGAGGAAGGUGGGGAUGACGUCAAGUCAUCAUGGCCCUUAUGGGCAGGGCUACACACGUGCUACAAUGGGCGGUACAAAGGGUUGCCAACCCGCGAGGGGGAGCUAAUCCCACAAAGCCGUUCGUAGUCCGGAUUGCAGUCUGCAACUCGACUGCAUGAAGUCGGAAUCGCUAUAUCGCAGAUCAGCAUGCUGCGGUGAUA